rnacentral:rRNA from 1 species
UGGGGAAUCUUGCACAAUGGGCGAAAGCCUGAUGCAGCGACGCCGCGUGGGGGAUGAAGCAUUUCGGAGUGUAAACCCCUUUCGACUGGGAAGAAUGCCUCGCAAGAGGACUGACGGUACCAGUAUAAGAAGCCCCGGCUAACUACGUGCCAGCAGCCGCGGUAAGACGUAGGGGGCCAGCGUUGUUCGGAAUUACUGGGUGUAAAGGGUUCGUAGGCGGUGUGGCAAGUUGGGAGUGAAAUCUCUGGGCUCAACCCAGAGGCUGCUUCCAAAACUGCUGUGCUUGAGUGUGAGAGAGGCUCGUGGAAUUGCAGGUGUAGCGGUGAAAUGCGUAGAUAUCUGCAGGAACACCCGUGGCGAAAGCGGCGAGCUGGAUCACAACUGACGCUGAGGAACGAAAGCUAGGGGAGCAAACAGGAUUAGAUACCCCCGUAGUCC